GGAAACCUGAUUCCAGCCCUGGCCGGGUGUUGAAGAAAGGCUUUCGGGUGGUAAAGCCACUUUCAGCGAGGAAGAAAGGCUCUAAAGUUAAUACCCUUAGGAAUUGACGUUACUCGCGAAAGAGGCACCGGCUAAUUCCGUGCCCGCAGCCGCGGUAAUACGGAGGGUGCAAGCGUAAUCGGAAUUACUGGGCGUAAAGCGCGCGUAGGUGGUUUGUUAAGCGAGAUGUGAAAGCCCCGGGCUUAACCUGGGAACGGCAUUUCGAACUGGCAAGCUAGAGUGUGGUAGAGGGUAGUGGAAUUUCCUGUGUAGCGGUGAAAUGCGUAGAUAUAGGAAGGAACACCAGUGGCGAAGGCGGCUACCUGGACCAACACUGACACUGAGGUGCGAAAGCGUGGGGAGCAAACAGGAUUAGAUACCCUGGUAGUCCACGCCGUAAACGAUGUCAACUAGCCGUUGGGGAUCUUGAAUCCUUAGUGGCGCAGCUAACGCACUAAGUUGACCGCCUGGGGAGUACGGCCGCAAGGUUAAAACUCAAAUGAAUUGACGGGGGCCCGCACAAGCGGUGGAGCAUGUGGUUUAAUUCGACGCAACGCGAAGAACCUUACCUGGCCUUGACAUGCAGAGAACUUUCCAGAGAUGGAUUGGUGCCUUCGGGAACUCUGACACAGGUGCUGCAUGGCCGUCGUCAGCUCGUGUCGUGAGAUGUUGGGUUAAGUCCCGUAACGAGCGCAACCCCUAUCCUUGGUUGCUAGCAGGUAAUGCUGAGAACUCCAGGGAGACUGCCGGUGACAAACCGGAGGAAGGUGGGGAUGACGUCAGGUCAUCAUGGCCCUUACGGCCAGGGCUACACACGUGCUACAAUGGCGUAUACAGAGGGCUGCCAACUAGCGAGAGUGAGCCAAUCCCAUAAAGUGCGUCGUAGUCCGGAUUGCAGUCUGCAACUCGACUGCGGAAGUCGGAUCGCUGUAAUCGCGAUCGAAUGCGUGUCGCCNNNN
rnacentral:rRNA from 1 species